GACGAACGCUGGCGGCGUGCUUAACACAUGCAAGUCGAACGGAAAGGCCCUGCUUUUGUGGGGUGCUCGAGUGGCGAACGGGUGAGUAACACGUGAGUAACCUGCCCUUGACUUUGGGAUAACUUCAGGAAACUGGGGCUAAUACCGGAUAGGAGCUCCUGCUGCAUGGUGGGGGUUGGAAAGUUUCGGCGGUUGGGGAUGGACUCGCGGCUUAUCAGCUUGUUGGUGGGGUAGUGGCUUACCAAGGCUUUGACGGGUAGCCGGCCUGAGAGGGUGACCGGCCAAAUUGGGACUGGGAUUCGGCCCAGACCCCUACGGGAGGCAGCAGUGGGGAAUAUUGCACAAUGGGCGGAAGCCUGAUGCAGCAACGCCGCGUGCGGGAUGACGGCCUUCGGGUUGUAAACCGCUUUCGCCUGUUACGAAGCGUGAGUGACGGUAAUGGGUAAAGAAGCACCGGCUAACUACGUG
rnacentral:rRNA from 1 species